CCUACGGGGGGCUGCAGUGAGGAAUAUUGGUCAAUGGACGAGAGUCUGAACCAGCCAAGUAGCGUGAAGGAUGACUGCCCUAUGGGUUGUAAACUUCUUUUAUAUGGGAAUAAAAUGUUCCACGUGUGGGAUUUUGUAUGUACCAUAUGAAUAAGGAUCCGCUAACUCCGUGCCAGCAGCCGCGGUAAUACGGAGGAUCCGAGCGUUAUCCGGAUUUAUUGGGUUUAAAGGGAGCGUAGGUGGAUUGUUAAGUCAGUUGUGAAAGUUUGCGGCUCAACCGUAAAAUUGCAGUUGAAACUGGCAGUCUUGAGUACAGUAGAGGUGGGCGGAAUUCGUGAUGUAGCGGUGAAAUGCUUAGAUAUCACGAAGAACUCCGAUUGCGAAGGCAGUUCACUGGACUGCAACUGACACUGAGGCUCGAAAGUGUGGGUAUCAAACAGGAUUAGAUACCCCUGUAGUC
rnacentral:rRNA from 1 species